AUCCCUAAAAACUAUUGAGUUCAGGACACAAAGUGUAAAAUCCAAAUAAGCAGAGACCGUGAUUUCUGAUUGAAUAAAGGACACUUUAUUGAGUGUUGCCUGAGUGUGGGGAAAAGGGCUGGGAAGACCCAGAUGGGAGGCAAGAUCCUCCUGGAGGUCCUGAGGCUCCGAGCCCCCUUCGGUGGGCGGGGGGCAUCGGGAACCUAAGAGCACUCUGCGGGGGCCACCUUCUUCUCCACAGUGCUCCCCUCGUGCGUGACCAGGCAGCUGAAGCUGCUGUGAGAUUUCCACUUGUCAGGCGUCAGGCUCAGGUAGCUGCUGGCCGCGUACUUGUUGUUGCUCUGCUUGGAGGGCUUGGUGGUCUCCACGGUGCUCCCCUCGUGCGUGACCAGGCAGCUGAAGCUGCUGUGAGAUUUCCACUUGUCAGGCGUCAGGCUCAGGUAGCUGCUGGCCGCGUACUUGUUGUUGCUCUGCUUGGAGGGCUUGGUGGUCUCCACAAGUCGCUGAUGAGGCACACCAGGGUGGCCUUGUUGGCGCCGAGCUCCUCAGAGGAGGGCGGGAAGAGUGUGACCGAGGGGGAGGCCUUGGGCUGACCUGUGGGGACGGAAGGCCGGUGGGUCAAGGCAGAUGUUUGUUGUGUCAGCACCUACCUGAGUGCUGGUGUGGGGGUACAGCUGUGUCCUGUCCAUGUCUUGGGCCGCAGGCGGUAGGCUCACCCACCUUCUGCUGGAGAGAAUCUGAGUGACAGAUUCUCUAGUUUCUGGGCCUCUGCAUGGCCUCAGGGUCUCUCCACAUCAUAUAUCCUUCUAAUCUACUCAGUCUACCCCCAGGACUAGAUAUCAAUGACCCCGAGACCCUGCUUUCUUUCUGAAUCUGUGUGUGCUUGGACACAGGUCUCAGGUGACAUCCCCCAGGUCACUUACCCAGGAUUUCCUAGAGCUGGCAUCUCUGGGUUGCAGGGCUCUGUUACCCAUGUGAGGAGUCUGUUUCCUGCCUCCAGGCCACCUCAUGCCUUCACAGCAGCCUUGCCCACCUCCCUAGAUACCCACCUUCUAGGGUUGCUGAAUGGGAUGGGCUGAGAACCCUGGUUCUUGAACUCAGGGAGUCCAGUAGGGGAAGUUUUUCGUGUCAAGUGAAUUUCCAGUUCUGAGGAUGGGGCUGUGUCUGUCCUGAGGGUCUCCCUUUUCUGUGAAAACCUGGGGGUCUAUCUCUCCUAGCAUUUCCGGGUACCUAGCAGUACUAUCUCUGUCACCUGUCCCUAUCAGGGACCUCGGGUCCAGUAUCUUCUCAGGGGCUCUCCAGAUGGAGUGGGCUUUGAGGGGACGGACCUCUGCUGCCAGAGUUUCCUAGACCGGUCCUAUUCUUGGUGUCUAAGUAUCCCUACAUGGUGGAUGGUCCCAUCACCCUGGGCUCCAUUCUCUCAAGUCCUUGCUUUAUCCUUUACCCCUUGUCCUGCUUCCCCCUCCUUGUCUCCGAGUCCCCAUAUCAAGGCUCUCCUCAUUGUGCCCAUGCAGCCCUCUGCCCGGGAGCCCCCUCCACCAGAGACAGAGGCCAGCACCUGAGCGGCCCCCAUAAUCCUUCCAUCACCUUAUAGCCCUGCUGGCAGUCUGAGCAUCCCUCUUCCUUAUCCAUCUCCCCUCAUUUCCCCUCACAUUCAUGAUUCUAAUAGACCCUGACUGGGGAACCGACCACCCCCUAGUCCAGAGAAGAAGGUCCUGUAGGUAGAGGGCUGGACACACAGUGAGACCUGACUGUAUGUACAUCAGGAAGGAUUUUGGGGCUGGUCCCCUGCAGCUCCAAUACAACAUCCGACAAGGUGGGAGCAGUGGAAGCACGAGGGGCAGACGAAGCGGACGAAAGGCAUAGACCCCACAGACCUUUAGCCUCAGCCUUCAUCAAGUUGGAAAGGAGAGAAGCAUCACCUGAAAUUGUAGAGUGGGAGCCAAGGAGGCGAGAAAGGGGUAGACUCACCGAGGACGGUCAGGGUGGGUGCCUCCGCCGAACACAGCACACUGUGACACAGCCUCGAACAUAAACCCUCUGUCAGCCCCUCCACCCCUGACCCAGGCCCACCUGCAGCUGCUCGGGAGGCCCAAAGGGCAGCCUCCUUGUCACGGGUGCUGGUUGGGCAGAUGGGGGUGUGUGGUGAGGAGGUUGCCCCUGGAGACCAGGAAUUUCAUUUCCAUGGAAGGUUCAGAUUCCAUCCAUCCUCAGUCCUGGGGAGGGGUUUGCAGAGGAUGUCUGGGUAUGUCAUCGAUAUUCCCAGCUAAGUCCAUCGUUAGGGAGGAGCUGUGUGUCUCCUCAGUGUGUGUCAGUAUGUCAUUGUGGAAGGGGUGAGCAGGC
rnacentral:lncRNA from 1 species